AAUGAACGUUGGCGGCGUGGAUUAGGCAUGCAAGUCGAGCGCGAACCCGCAAGGGGGAGAGCGGCAAACGGGGUAGUAAUGCGUAGGUGACGUACCCCAAGGACCGGGAUAGCCGCGGGAAACUGCGGGUAAUACCGGAUGACCUCACUCUUCAUGAUUGGAGGGUGAGCAAAGGGUGUGAUUCCGCCAUGGGAGCGGCCUGCGUGGUACUAGGUAGUUGGUGAGGUAACGGCUCACCAAGCCUGAGAGGCCUAGGGGGUGUGAGAGCACGACCCCCACCACUGGGACUGAGACACUGCCCAGACACCUACGGGUGGCUGCAGUCGAGAAUCUUCGGCAAUGGGCGCAAGCCUGACCGAGCGACGCCGCGUGCGGGAUGAAGGCCUUUGGGUUGUAAACCGCUGUCAGAGGGGAUGAAAUGCGGAAGGGUUCUCCCUUUCGUUUGACAUAGCCUCAGAGGAAGCACGGGCUAAGUACGUGCCAGCAGCCGCCGUAACAC
rnacentral:rRNA from 1 species